CUGUGACGCGUUAGAUCGUCGUCGGUUAUUGUAUCAGGUUGAAAAGACUACACUGGCAGCGUCGCCUGUGAAAACCGGAACUUGUCAUUCUUGUCUGCUCGCCGCAUGGCGGAAGCUCAAAAUACGAGUAGACGGCUGAUGUACAUCGUGCCGAGAAUUUUGCAGUCUUCGAGACGCGUAAAGUUUACAGGCAAACUGCAAGACCGGAACAAUAGAGGAACAAUUUGCUUUCCGAAACAAUUAACUCUCAACAAUUAUUCAUUAUAUUCUAAGAGCGAGGUUACGUCUUUCAAUGUGCA
rnacentral:misc_RNA from 1 species